AGCGCGGUGGGCGGAGCGGCGGGAGCAGGGGUGCCUCGGGUGGCGCCGGCACUGCCGUCUCCAAGACUGCGCACGUGCUGGUUGUGCGGGGUGUUGAGGACUGGGCCGUGCCUGACGCCGGCAGCAGUCUAAUCGUCCGCACCUAUGGCGCCGAGUCGGCUGGCUCGGGCGUCAGCAGUGGCUACGGCACGGCCGACGGCGGCAUGCCCAGCUCCGGCGUGGUGGAGGGCCACGCCGGUGGCAGUAGCACCAGCACUUACUGCUACAGCGCGGCCGUCAGCGGCUCUCGCAGCAGUAGCACCAUCGGCAGCGCCCCGCCUCCCCUGGGCGGUGGCUGCAGCCUGAUCAACAUGGUCCGCGCGGCGUUCCGGCGCCUUCGCAGCGGACCCAACAGCAGCAGCGCAGGAGCAGGAGUCUCCAGCAGCAGCAGCGGCAGUGCCGGGCUUGCGAGUUCCGGCGGCCGCUCGAGUGUCGUCUGCAAUAGCGGAGACACCGUGCUGUAUCCCUCCAGCAGCAGCAGCGUCGGGGUGGUGGCGAACGGCAGCGUCAGCGGCAGCCCCAGUAGCGCCGCCGCCGCCAGUGGUGUGCCGGUGGUGGAUUCCGGCACCUUUGCCCAUAUCACGCCGCUGCGUCAGCUGCUUCACAACUUCACGCCCCGCUCGAGGGUGAGGCAAGUGCUGUGGGGGGAUGGCCACAGCAGCCCGGUCGGGGGAUCGGGCACUCUCCGGAUGCUCUCCGGGCGGCAGCGUGUUGAUGUGACGGGUGUGCUGUAUGUGCCAGCCGCCCAGCUCUCCCUGCUAUCUGUGCGCCGGCUGACGGCCAGCGGCGUGAAGGUAGUGUUCGAGGGGGAGACAGUGACCUUAGCGCAGGGUGGCCGCAACCUCCUCAGCGGCCGCCUGCGCGAUGGUCUGUUCCCGCUGUCUGUUACCAUGCUGCCCGUCGCGCUGGCGGCGCCCGCCGUGGCGCCGCCGGCUGCCGGCGGCGGCCCCGCCGCGCCUCCGGGCGGCGGCGGUGGUGCCGCCGCCAACGGCAGUAACACCGGUGUACACCCCAAUCCCGCCGCCGCGCUUUCGGGCCGCGGCGGCACCACCAGCAGCAGCAGCCUCAGCGGCUCCGGCACUAUGAGCAGUAGCAGCAGCAUUGGUGCGGCCGCGCCUUCGGGCGGCGGCGGCGCCAGCAGCAGCACCAGCUCGCCGGCGGCUUCUCUGGGCGCUGCGCUCCGUCUGCACCGCCGGUUCGGCCAUCUCGGCUGGACUGCGCUGAUGCAGAUGGUGGGUGGGUCCCUUGUCACCGGCCUGGAUGUUGAUCUGUGCGCACUUAGCCAGGCAGCCGGGUCGGUGUGCAGCACCUGCAUUGAGGCCAAGGCGGCCUCUCUGCCCUUCCCGAAUAGCAGUAGCGAGCCGCCACAGCCUCUGGCUCUGGCGCACUCUGACGUGUGCGGCCCCAUGCCCACCGUGGGCCGUGGUGGCGCACGCUACUUCACCACGCUGCUUGACGCCGCCACCGGCCUAUCAGCUGUUCGGUUGCUGCCCACCAGGGACCACGCUGGUGUAGCGCUGCAGGAGAUGAUUGCGCAGUUCGAGAGUCACUGCCGCGAUGGCGGCAAGCUGCGCAUCCUCCGCAGCGACAACGGCGGCGAGUACCACGCUGAGCAGCUGGAGCAGUGGCUGCGUGAGCGCAGCACCGCGCACCAGUUCAGCGCGCCGUACACGCCGCAGCAGAACGGUGUGGCCGAGCGGCUCAACCGCACCCUGAUGGAGCGCACUCGCGCCCUGCUGUUUGAGGCUGUGCUCCCCCCCAGCUUCUGGCCUGAAGCUGUGGUGCAUGCCUGCCAUGUGCGCAACUUAAGUCCCUCCACCAGCUGCAGCAGCACGCCGUGGGAGGCCUUCACCGGCAACAAGCCUAACGUUGCCGACCUGCGCAUCUUCGGCUGCCGCGUCUAUGUCACCAAACCCGCCGACAGCCGCUCCAAGCUCAGCCCGCAUGCCGACAUCGGCACGUACCUGGGCCUGCAGCGCAGCUCCGCCGCAUCUCGCGUGCUGGUCGGCGGCAAAGUGGUGGUGAGCCGGGACAUAGAGUUCGAUGAGGAUGUACGGGGUCCGGCGUCGCGGCUGGCGGGCACACCGUUCGGGGUAACGGCGGAUGCGAGUGGUGGUGGUGGUGGCAGUAGCAGUGCUGCAACGCCCUCGGCCGGCGCUGACCCGGCGCCUCCCCAGGCGCCGGCGGCGCCGGCCAACGGCACACCUCCCCCCACUACGCUGCCGGCGCCUCCCCAGGCGCCGGCAGCCGGGCCCUCACGGCCCGCCACCCGCAGUCAACGCCCCUCACUAACGCCGGCCCUCGGCGCCGUCAGUGAGCCUCCGCUGUCAACUGCCGCAUCCGCGGCGGCGGGCGGCGGGGGUGGCAGCAGUAGCAGCGCCGCCUCGGCUGCAGCAGCGGCCGCUCAGCUGUUUGAUAGCGACAGCGACGACGAGACGCCGGCGCUGGCGCCAGCCUCAGAUGAUGAGGACAGCUACAGCAGCAGCGCUGCGAUGACUGCGGCUGCGGACACCGGCGACCCCCGCAGCUAUUCGGAGGCCACUAACGGACCACAAGCUGCGGAGUGGCGCGCCGCUAUGGAGGAGGAGAUGAAGGCUCAACGCGCACACGGCACCUGGCAGCUAGCGGAGCCGCCCCCAGGCGCGCGUCUGCUGGCCAAUCGCUGGGUCUUCAAGACCAAUGUUGGUGAGUUGGGGGCUCGCGGUGCUAGUGGCCCGCGAGGGGAGGCAGCCCAACCCUAGGGUGCAGCCGUGUGGCGGUUUGCCGGAUGGGUCAGACUGCCAGGUACGAGGUUGCGAGGGGCUGCCGCCCGUCUGUGUGGCGCGCUUCCGAGCGCUUGCUUUGUUAACCACACGCGCCAUAAGUCUUCCCCCACUACCGGUGCCAGACAGCAUAGCUGUAUCGCGUGUGAAGCACCCGCAGCCAGCAACAGCGUCAGCCGAGCCAAAAUCCUCAGCAGGUUAUGAGCCCCGCGCCGCGAUAACCCGCGCGCGGUCGGCCGCUUAGCUAGCUAGGUAGUAUGGGGGACUAUAGUGGAGUAAUGUUGUUAGAGGACGCGUCAAACUACUUUGCGUGGCGUCGCAGCCUGUUGGACCACCUGAACUCCCGGCGUGUGCCUCUCGGAGAAUAUCUCUUCGCCUACGCUCCGAUGACGCCUCGCACGGCGCGCGAGCUGGCUGAUGAGAGUGCUGCAGCCGCCAGUUUGCUGCGCAUGUCCUGCAGUGAGGGCGUUGCGCAGCAACUCGCACUCGCUCAGCACGCCUACGAGGCGCACGCCUACGUCAUCCAGCUGUUCCGCCAGUCAGCGCCGCUGAAACUGGCGCAGUUCGAGUCAGCGAUGAGUUCUGCCUGCGAGAGGGCGAGACCAUUGCCUCUUACUUCCUGCGCGCCAGUGACCUGCGGGACCGCAUCGGCGCGGUCGGCGGCUCGUGGACCGACCAGCAGGUGCGACUCAAGCUGCUGGCCGGUCUGCCCAAGCCGCGCUGGGAGAACAUCUGCGACAUCUGCUACGCCUCUCCAGGCCAGACCCUGCAGCAGCUUUGCGGUUAUUUAAUGCAGCAGGAGUUCAUUAAGAACCAGGAGCAGGCGCGCAGCGGGCACGUCGGCGCCGUCAACCGCAGCGGCGGCCGCGCCGGUGCCGCCGGCAGUGCCGGCGGCGGCCAAGGCGGCGGCGCCGCCAGCAGCAGCGCCAUUAUCUGCCACUACUGCGAGCAGCCUGCUGGCCACAUUCGGUCCCACUGCCGCGUGCGCCUGGCCGAUGUUGCGGCCGGCAUCUUCCGCGCUGACAUCCGCUCGCCGCCCCAGCUGAAGCAGUCCGGCGGCGGCGGUGGUGGCGGCGGUGGAGGCGGCAGUGGUGGCGGUGGUGGCGGCGGUGCCGGCGGCCCCAAAGGUGGCGACAGCGGAGGAGGUAAGAAGCGCGGUGGGCGGAGCGGCGGGAGCAGGGGUGCCUCGGGUGGCGCCGGCACUGCCGUCUCCAAGACUGCGCACGUGCUGGUUGUGCGGGGUGUUGAGGACUGGGCCGUGCCUGACGCCGGCAGCAGUCUAAUCGUCCGCACCUAUGGCGCCGAGUCGGCUGGCUCGGGCGUCAGCAGUGGCUACGGCACGGCCGACGGCGGCAUGCCCAGCUCCGGCGUGGUGGAGGGCCACGCCGGUGGCAGU
rnacentral:lncRNA from 1 species